rnacentral:rRNA from 1 species
GGUGACUGCGUACCUUUUGUAUAAUGGGUCAGCGACUUAUAUUCUGUAGCAAGGUUAACCGUAUAGGGGAGCCGCAGGGAAACCGAGUCUUAACUGGGCGUUAAGUUGCAGGGUAUAGACCCGAAACCCGGUGAUCUAGCCAUGGGCAGGUUGAAGGUUGGGUAACACUAACUGGAGGACCGAACCGACUAAUGUUGAAAAAUUAGCGGAUGACUUGUGGCUGGGGGUGAAAGGCCAAUCAAACCGGGAGAUAGCUGGUUCUCCCCGAAAGCUAUUUAGGUAGCGCCUCGUGAACUCAUCUUCGGGGGUAGAGCACUGUUUCGGCUAGGGGGUCAUCCCGACUUACCAACCCGAUGCAAACUACGAAUACCGAAGAAUGUUAUCACGGGAGACACACGGCGGGUGCUAACGUCCGUCGUGAAGAGGGAAACAACCCAGACCGCCAGCUAAGGUCCCAAAGUCAUGGUUAAGUGGGAAACGAUGUGGGAAGGCCCAGACAGCCAGGAUGUUGGCUUAGAAGCAGCCAUCAUUUAAAGAAAGCGUAAUAGCUCACUGGUCGAGUCGGCCUGCGCGGAAGAUGUAACGGGGCUAAACCAUGCACCGAAGCUGCGGCAGCGACACUAUGUGUUGUUGGGUAGGGGAGCGUUCUGUAAGCCGUUGAAGGUGGCCUGUGAGGGUUGCUGGAGGUAUCAGAAGUGCGAAUGCUGACAUAAGUAACGAUAAUGCGGGUGAAAAACCCGCACGCCGGAAGACCAAGGGUUCCUGUCCAACGUUAAUCGGGGCAGGGUGAGUCGACCCCUAAGGCGAGGCCGAAAGGCGUAGUCGAUGGGAAACAGGUUAAUAUUCCUGUACUCGGUGUUACUGCGAAGGGGGGACGGAGAAGGCUAUGUUGGCCGGGCGACGGUUGUCCCGGUUUAAGCAUGUAGGCGGAUGUUCCAGGUAAAUCCGGAACGUCACUAACGCUGAGGUGUGAUGACGAGGCACUACGGUGCUGAAGUGACAAAUGCCCUGCUUCCAGGAAAAGCCUCUAAGCAUCAGGUAACAUCAAAUCGUACCCCAAACCGACACAGGUGGUCAGGUAGAGAAUACCAAGGCGCUUGAGAGAACUCGGGUGAAGGAACUAGGCAAAAUGGUGCCGUAACUUCGGGAGAAGGCACGCUGAUGGUAGGUGAAGCGACUUGCUCGUGGAGCUGAAAUCAGUCGAAGAUACCAGCUGGCUGCAACUGUUUAUUAAAAACACAGCACUGUGCAAACACGAAAGUGGACGUAUACGGUGUGACGCCUGCCCGGUGCCGGAAGGUUAAUUGAUGGGGUUAUCCGUAAGGAGAAGCUCUUGAUCGAAGCCCCGGUAAACGGCGGCCGUAACUAUAACGGUCCUAAGGUAGCGAAAUUCCUUGUCGGGUAAGUUCCGACCUGCACGAAUGGCGUAAUGAUGGCCAGGCUGUCUCCACCCGAGACUCAGUGAAAUUGAACUCGCUGUGAAGAUGCAGUGUACCCGCGGCAAGACGGAAAGACCCCGUGAACCUUUACUAUAGCUUGACACUGAACACUGGUCCUUGAUGUGUAGGAUAGGUGGGAGGCUUUGAAGUGUGGACGCCAGUCUGCAUGGAGCCAUCCUUGAAAUACCACCCUUUAAUGGCUGGUGUUCUAACGUGGGCCCGUAAUCCGGGUUGCGGACAGUGUCUGGUGGGUAGUUUGACUGGGGCGGUCUCCUCCUAAAGAGUAACGGAGGAGCACGAAGGUCAGCUAAUCCUGGUCGGACAUCAGGAGGUUAGUGCAAUGGCAUAAGCUGGCUUGACUGCGAGCGUGACGGCGCGAGCAGGUGCGAAAGCAGGUCAUAGUGAUCCGGUGGUUCUGAAUGGAAGGGCCAUCGCUCAACGGAUAAAAGGUACUCCGGGGAUAACAGGCUGAUACCGCCCAAGAGUUCAUAUCGACGGCGGUGUUUGGCACCUCGAUGUCGGCUCAUCACAUCCUGGGGCUGAAGUAGGUCCCAAGGGUAUGGCUGUUCGCCAUUUAAAGUGGUACGCGAGCUGGGUUUAGAACGUCGUGAGACAGUUCGGUCCCUAUCUGCCGUGGGCGCUGGAGAAUUGAGGGGGGCUGCUCCUAGUACGAGAGGACCGGAGUGGACGCAUCACUGGUGUUCGGGUUGUCAUGCCAAUGGCAUUGCCCGGUAGCUAAAUGCGGAAGAGAUAAGUGCUGAAAGCAUCUAAGCACGAAACUUGCCCCGAGAUGAGUUCUCCCUGACUCCUUGA